GGUCUGAUAAGUGUAAUCUUGUAGGAUACCCCAAGAAAAUAAGGGGAUAUUACUUUUACCUCCUGCUGAACAAAAGGUAUUUGUUAGUAGUAAGGUACAUUUUUUGAAAAAAAAAAAUUUAGUGAAGGAAUAAGUGCCUCUAAAGUCGAGCUCAAUGAAGUUCGACAAGUAGAAGAACCGACACCAGUGACUGAAUCUGAAUCAGAAUUGAUAAGAUCAAACCAGAAGCCCAAUAUACAAAUAUCCUUAAGAUAAUCUGGUAGAGUACCGCAUC
rnacentral:lncRNA from 1 species